rnacentral:rRNA from 1 species
UACGUAGGGGGCAAGCGUUGUUCGGAAUUACUGGGCGUAAAGAGCGCGCAGGCGGUCGUUCAAGUCGCGUGUGAAAGCCCCCGGCUCAACUGGGGAGGGUCACGCGAUACUGAUCGACUCGAAGGCAGGAGAGGGUAGUGGAAUUCCCGGUGUAGUGGUGAAAUGCGUAGAUAUCUGGAGGAAUACCGGUGGCGAAGGCGGCAUCCUGGACCGGCAUUGACGCUGAGGAGCGAAAGCUAGGGGAGCAAACGGG